rnacentral:rRNA from 1 species
UACGUAGGGGGCAAGCAUUGUCCGGAUUUACUGGGCGUAAAGCGCGUGCAGGCGGUCUGUUAAGUUCGGGGUGAAAGCUCCCGGCUCAACCGGGAGAGGUCCUUGGAUACUGGCAGACUUGAGGGAGGUAGAGGAGAGUGGAAUUCCCGGUGUAGUGGUGAUAUGCGUAGAUAUCGGGAGGAACACCGGUGGCGAAGGCGGCUCUCUGGGCCGUUCCUGACGCUGAGGCGCGAAAGCGUGGGGAGCGAACGGG